CUCAUUUUAGAGAAAAAGGAACGAGGUCUCAGAUUAAGUUCCUAACCCAGCGAUACUGGGCUGGCCAGCGGUGGAGCUGAGAUUCUGGGGUUCCCCGACCCAGAUCUUGACUUGAACUGCCCUGCAAAUUGCCUUUGUACAUCCAGCCCAACCCCCUGCUUUUCCUUCUCAGUUGUGUGGACUCACGUCUGUCUCUGCCAUUUUCCCAGGGGGGUGUCGUGGGGUGUGCUCGUGGGAGUAUGUGUGUACCUGGAUAUGUGUGUUUGCUUCUAUGAGCAUGUGAGUACACGUAUGUGUGCAUGCACACGUGUGUACUUUCAGAAUAUGAGACAACAUGGCACAGAGGGCUUAUGUCCAAAGAGGGUUGUGGCCGGACAGAGCUCCCGUCUACUGACUGCCUCGUGGAUCACAUUUGGAGAGCUCGCACCAUCCCUGAGAGCUCAGAGAGGGUUUUGUGUCCUUCUCCAUCCACAGGAUGGUGGGGAACCCACCAGGGCCCACGGCAAGGAACCACCCCUCCUGAGCUGCCUCCCUUCUCAGGCUUUCAGGAGAAGGCUCGGGAUUUUGGAGUUUGCAAGCCCAUGGAGCCCUGAGAGACAUUUUUAGGUAUAUUGUUUCUUGGCCAGCCUGUUUCAGAGCAGAGAAGCCCAGACACAGCCACUGUCUCGACCGAGAGACUCUUGAGGGUUUGAAGCCACCUUUACAAAGGCAGGCAAGAGGCUCCCUCGCCAUGCAGGCAUUUUUUUUGUUUUUGCUUUUGUUUUUUUUUUCAAGUAGGUUCCCGGAGCCGAGCCUGAACUCACGACCCCGAGAUCAAGACCUGAGCUGAUAUUAAAAGUUGGACGCUUAACCCACCGAGCCACCCAGGUGCCCCAUCACCAUCUCUGUUUUUAUUUCAGUGUGUGCUUACUUCUAACUUUUUUGGGCCGCAUUUAAAGACCACAAAAUAAUGAGGCCAAAACUCCACAACUUUUGUGUCAUUUAUUCUUUUUUUUCUAAAUAAAGCCCUCCUAAAAG